rnacentral:rRNA from 1 species
UGGGGAAUUUUGGACAAUGGGGGAAACCCUGAUCCAGCCAUCCCGCGUGUGCGAUGAAGGCCUUCGGGUUGUAAAGCACUUUUGGCAGGAAAGAAACGUCGCGGGUUAAUACCCCGCGGAACUGACGGUACCUGCAGAAUAAGCACCGGCUAACUACGUGCCAGCAGCCGCGGUAAUACGUAGGGUGCAAGCGUUAAUCGGAAUUACUGGGCGUAAAGCGUGCGCAGGCGGUUCGGAAAGAAAGAUGUGAAAUCCCAGAGCUUAACUUUGGAACUGCAUUUUUAACUACCGGGCUAGAGUGUGUCAGAGGGAGGUGGAAUUCCGCGUGUAGCAGUGAAAUGCGUAGAUAUGCGGAGGAACACCGAUGGCGAAGGCAGCCUCCUGGGAUAACACUGACGCUCAUGCACGAAAAGCGUGGGGAGCAAACAGGAUUAGAUACCCUGGUAGUCCACGCCCUAAACGAUGUCAACUAGCUGUUGGGGUCUUCGGACCUUGGUAGCGCAGCUAACGCGUGAAGUUGACCGCCUGGGGAGUACGGUCGCAAGAUU